UGGUCGGAACUGUCGGAAGGAAAUUGAUGUUUACCGUGGAAAAUCAUUAUUGUGGGAUCCUCAAUAAAGAACCAUUUAAUUUAAAGAAACAACUUAAAUCCGAUCUGAACGGAAAUAGAAGCUGAAAUAAAAAAAUGUACAUGCGGACCUUUUUAAAAAAUGUUAGUUCAUUGUUCUACUAAAAAUAACAUGUAUUAAAAAUAAGAUUUAUUAUUUUAUUUGGGCAUAAGCCACAAUUCGAGUUUGAAAUCAAGUUUACUUGACCUUUCUACUUUCACUUCGGAAAUAGUUAUCAAUAUCAAAAUAACAUUCAUAAGCAGAUAUAUAUUAUGUGUCACCGGAAAGCGAAAUAGGUAACGCACUACUUGGAGAACCUAUAGUUUUCUAACUUCGUGUCUGGUGAAGCAACGCAGUUGAAACAAGCGGAUAUAUUAUAAUUGUGUCACCGGAAAGCGAAAAAGGUAAGGCACAACUUGGAAGACCCAAUAAUUUUCUAACUUCGCUUCUGGUGAAGCAACAGAGUUGGAACAAGCAGAUAUAUUAUAAUUGGGUCACCGGAAAGCCAAAAAGGUAACGCACAACUUGGAAGACCCAAUAGUUUUCUAACUUCGCUUCUGGUGAAGCAACGGAGUUGGAACAAGCAGAUAUAUUAUAAUUAUGUCACCGGAAAACGAAAAAGGUAACGCACAACUUGGAAGAGCCUAUAGUUUCCUAACUUCGCUUCUGGUGAAGCAACGGAGUUGGAACAAGUAGAUAUGUUAUAAUUGUGUCGUCGGAAAGCGAAAAAGGUAACUCACAUCUUGGAAGAGCCUAUAGUUUCCU